rnacentral:rRNA from 1 species
AUUGAACGCUGGCGGCAUGCCUUACACAUGCAAGUCGAACGGCAGCACGGGUGCUUGCACCUGGUGGCGAGUGGCGAACGGGUGAGUAAUACAUCGGAACAUGUCCUGUAGUGGGGGAUAGCCUGGCGAAAGCCGGAUUAAUACCGCAUACGAUCUACGGAUGAAAGCGGGGGACCUUCGGGCCUCGCGCUAUAGGGUUGGCCGAUGGCUGAUUAGCUAGUUGGUGGGGUAAAGGCCUUCCAAGGCGACGAUCAGUAGCUGGUCUGAGAGGACGACCAGCCACACUGGGACUGAGACACGGCCCAGACUCCUACGGGAGGCAGCAGUGGGGAAUUUUGGACAAUGGGCGAAAGCCUGAUCCAGCAAUGCCGCGUGUGUGAAGAAGGCCUUCGGGUUGUAAAGCACUUUUGUCCGGAAAGAAAUCCUUGGCCCUAAUACGGUCGGGGGAUGACGGUACCGGAAGAAUAAGCACCGGCUAACUACGUG